UUAUUUGCACAGAGGUUGUACCAUGGCCAAUGAGGUAAAUCCGAGGCAUGGUUAUUGCUAGUUUGUGCUUAAUGGCACUUCGUCUGUCUGAGUUUAAAUUCUGCUGAGGCCAACUUUGUCUUUCAUCUUUUCAAGUUUGA